CCAAGUCUAAUCUACCUAUUACAUAUAAAUUACUGCAAUUUGUUUUCUUUUCAAUGACUUCUUGUUUCAGAAGAGCUUGAAGAUGCUAUUUUUGAGAAGCCAAAACAGCAGGGAAAAUAUAUCAUUGUAUUUGAUCCUUUGGAUGGAUCCUCAAAUAUUGAAUCUGGUGUUUCUAUUGGAACUAAACUAUUAAAGCUUCUGCUAUGGUCCGAGCGAUCACCAUUGUCAACCUUAGUGCUUUCCAAAAAGGGUAGAAUCUGCUAUCCAAGUUGGUGCCUCAACAAGAACAAGUCAGAGGCUAGUGUGUUAGUUUAGCAUGUAGCAAUUGUCUAGUUUCCAUGUUGAGAAUAGACUCAAGGAAGAG